ensembl:ncRNA lncRNA:CR45647 long non-coding RNA:CR45647
UAUUUGCGCCGUGCAAAAUAAAAGGUUUAACGAUCUGCGGAUUUGUCGAUAGAAACUGGCACACGGCGAAGACAAUGACGACGCAUAGAACACAAGGCAGCAGAGGAAUCAGAUCGCGAUCCGAGAUCUCGGCGACUAGACCACGGCUGCUCACUUCAUCAAGGGGGUCAAAGUCAACUCGGCAUUCGCCCAGUCAUCAGCAGACUGAACUCCACUAAUAACCCCGAUGCGAAUUUCUAGUUCUCUGCAGCGAUAUUUAUGGCCAGGCAUUAGGGUGAUGGCAACCGCCGAAUUGCUCAAU